GACUAUGGCCAUACCACCCUGAACACGCCUGGUCUCUUCUGAUCUCGGAAGCUAUGCAGGGUCGGACCUGAUUAGUACUUGGAUGGGAAAAAUUCAUCACUACCC
rnacentral:rRNA from 1 species